rnacentral:tRNA from 1 species
GCCGCCUUAGCUCAGUUGGCUAGAGCAAUUGAUUUGUAAUCAAUAGGUCGUCGGUUCGAAUCCGACAGGCGGCUCAA